rnacentral:rRNA from 1 species
AUUGAACGCUGGCGGAAUGCUUUACACAUGCAAGUCGAGCGGCAGCACGGGGGCAACCCUGGUGGCGAGCGGCGAACGGGUGAGUAAUACAUCGGAACACGCCCAGUCGUGGGGGAUAACACUUCGAAAGAAGUGCUAAUACCGCAUACGUCCUGAGGGGGAAAGCGGGGGAUCGCAAGACCUCGCGCGAUUGGAGUGGCCGAUGUCAGAUUAGCAAGUUGGUGGGGUAAAGGCCUACCAAGGCAACGAUCUGUAGCUGGUCUGAGAGGAUGAUCAGCCACACUGGGACUGAGACACGGCCCAGACUCCUACGGGAGGCAGCAGUGGGGAAUUUUGGACAAUGGGGGCAACCCCGAUCCAGCCAUUCCGCGUGAGUGAAGAAGGCCUUCGGGUUGUAAAGCUCUUUCGGCAGGAACGAAACGGUGAGCUCUAACAUAGCUUGCUAAUGACGGUACCUGAAGAAGAAGCACCGGCUAACUACGUG